rnacentral:rRNA from 1 species
GAAGCGGGAAGAGCCCAGCACCGAAUCCGGCAGCCUUGCGCUGCACGGAACUGUGGUGUUUGGGACGUCAAUUGGUGCGACGUCCGGGUGCCCAAGUCCUCCUGAUCGGGGCCUCUCCCAUAGCGGGUGUCAGGCCUUUACCGGCACUCGGCGUCGUGCCUCUGAGCGUCCUUGGAGUCGGGUUGUUUGAGAAUGCAGCCCAAAGAGGGUGGUAAACUCCAUCUAAG